rnacentral:tRNA from 1 species
GCUUCUAUAGCUCAGUAGGUAGAGCACUUGCGUGGUAAGCAAGAGGUCACCAGUUCGAUUCUGGUUGGAAGCU